GUCCUGCACACACGCACACACACACAUGCACGCUCGUGCCCACAUACAAACACACUCACACAUACACACACAUACACACGCCGCCAACACAGGUUUGUGACAUCAAGACCCAUAGCAGAAAGGUUGUUGUUUUCCUAUGGACAGAUGGACAGGUUGUGUAGUUACUGUUUAGACUAGGUUACACAGACUGCUGAAACAUAGUUACUGUUUAGACUAGGUUACACAGACUGCUGAAACAUAGUUACUGUUUAGACUAGGUUACACAGACUGCUGAAACAUAGUUACUGUUUAGACUAGGUUACACAGACUGCUGAAACAUAGUUACUGUUUAGACUAGGUUACACAGACUGCUGAAACAUAGUUACUGUUUAGACUAGGUUACACAGACUGCUGAAACAUAGUUACUGUUUAGACUAGGUUACACAGACUGCUGAAACAUAGUUACUGUUUAGACUAGGUUACACAGACUGCUGAAACAUAGUUACUGUUUAGACUAGGUUACACAGACUGCUGAAACAUAGUUACUGUUUAGACUAGGUUACACAGACUGCUGAAACAUAGUUACUGUUUAGACUAGGUUACACAGACUGCUGAAACAUAGUUACUGUUUAGACUAGGUUACACAGACUGCUGAAACAUAGUUACUGUUUAGACUAGGUUACACAGACUGCUGAAACAUAGUUACUGUUUAGACGAGGUUACACAGACUGCUGAAACAUAGUUACUGUUUAGACGAGGUUACACAGACUGCUGAAACAUAGUUACUGUUUAGACGAGGUUACACAGACUGCUGAAACAUAGUUACUGUUUAGACGAGGUUACACAGACUGCUGAAACAUAGUUACUGUUUAGACUAGGUUACACAGACUGCUGAAACAUAGUUACUGUUUAGACUAGGUUACACAGACUGCUGAAACAUAGUUACUGUUUAGACGAGGUUACACAGACUGCUGAAACAUAGUUACUGUUUAGACUAGGUUACACAGACUGCUGAAACAUAGUUACUGUUUAGACGAGGUUACACAGACUGCUGAAACAUAGUUACUGUUUAGACUAGGUUACACAGACUGCUGAAACAUAGUUACUGUUUAGAUGAGGUUACACAGACUGCUGAAACAUAGUUACUGUUUAGACGAGGUUACCCAGACUACCACGGCACUGUGCUCGUUUGGCCUUCUCUAUAUACAAAUACAGAACGUGUGUGUAGUUAUUAUUGGA